GAGUUUGAUCAUGGCUCAGAUUGAACGCUGGCGGCAUGCCUUACACAUGCAAGUCGAACGGCAGCACGGGAGCUUGCUCCUGGUGGCGAGUGGCGAACGGGUGAGUAAUACAUCGGAACGUAUCCUGGAGUGGGGGAUAACGUAGCGAAAGUUACGCUAAUACCGCAUAUUCUGUGAGCAGGAAAGCGGGGGACCUUCGGGCCUCGCGCUCUUGGAGCGGCCGAUGUCGGAUUAGCUAGUUGGUGAGGUAAAGGCUCACCAAGGCGACGAUCCGUAGCAGGUCUGAGAGGAUGAUCUGCCACACUGGAACUGAGACACGGUCCAGACUCCUACGGGAGGCAGCAGUGGGAAUUUUGGACAAUGGGGGCAACCCUGAUCCAGCCAUGCCGCGUGAGUGAAGAAGGCCUCGGUUGUAAG
rnacentral:rRNA from 2 species